rnacentral:tRNA from 1 species
ACGCCCGUAGCUCAAUUGGAUAGAGUUUCAGAUUCCGAUUCUGACGGUUGUGGGUUCGAACCCCGUCGGGCGUACCA